AUCAUGCCACUGCAUGCGAAGCUCAUGGUUCCGAACCUGAUGAAGCGAAACCCAAGGAAGAGGCUCACAGGAGAGCCUCUAACAAUGAUCCAGAAAGCAAGCAUUUGAAAACAAAGAACCCUGAAUGUUCUCAUCAAUCAAUUUCAGAUUCUUCUGAUGCUGUAGAGAGCGCAUUGAGCUGCACUAAGCCAUCAAUGCAAAGCAGCAAAUUUUCGCAGGAACUGACAAGUCCUCUAUUGGCAAGCUAUGAACCACAAGAAAUUUCACAACAAAGUAGAGGUUGUAUCUCAGAGCGUCAAUCGCCAUCUAGGUCUCUUGCACAAGUAGAAAAGCAGAAUCAGACUGUUGAAGAAAAUGAUUCAAGACCAAAGAGGAUGGGAAGAAGGGCGAGGAUGCUUGAUCUGGGGAAGAAGAUGGGGGACAAACUUGAAGAGAAGAGACGUCACAUUGAAGAAAAGGGUAGGAGCAUUGUUGAGAAGAUGAGAGGACCAUGAACUACCAAAACAAGGAGUGCUCGGACGUCCAUAGGAUUGGUAGCCAUUGUCAUUGAUGGACAGAGCGGACGCACCCAUUAAUUUGAAUAGAUGAUUAAGUAUAAUAUUUUAGGUGUUAAAAACUUUUUUAUAUAGAAUUGGCAAACCCAUGUCAAAGCCCUACAGAUAUACUAUUAACUUUACGGGUUUUCCAAUUUAAGGGUGGCAAGGACUUGCAUAGCAAAAUACAGUAAAACAGAGUCGAGCA
rnacentral:misc_RNA from 1 species